GGAAAAAACUAACCAAUAAAAAGCCCUAUUUUUCAAAUUCUCCCACGAAGUGGUUGCCCAAACCAUUUCCUUCACUACUCCCUCCACUAACACAAAUUGCUGCCAACUCCGAGUAAUACCAAUUCAGGACAAUCACAUCCAAUACACUUUUUAAGGAUUUCUGGCCAAUUAGCAGCUGGUGCAGCCUGAGUUACUGAAAUUGGUGGUGACGGAGGAGGUGGUACAGUUGCCGGAAUCGGUGCCGGAGGUGGACCAUGACCACCACCUACUCCCCGAGUUGUCACAGCAGCAAUGUGUAGAAGAGGUUUGAGAUGAGGACAUGAUCGUACGAGCUUGAAGAUGCAAUCGAGGGCUGUGAACAGAAUCUGCAAAACAUCUUUCAUGGAUGGCCUAUUUGAAGGAGAACGCAAAGUACACGCAAGGCCUAAUUUGAAAACAAUGGUCGCGGCUUCCAGGUUCAUAUCCUCAUUUCCAGUCACUGCUUCUCUUCCCGUUGUCAAUUCCAAGAGUACUACGCCAAAGCUGUAGAUGUC